rnacentral:rRNA from 1 species
GACGAACGCUGGCGGCGUGCUUAACACAUGCAAGUGGAGCGACGAACCGGGCUUCGGCCCGGGGCAAAGCCGCGAACGGGUGAGUAUCACGUGGGUAACCUGCCCCGAUGACCGGGAUAACCCGAGGAAACUCGGGCUAAUACCGGAUGUGCUCCCAAUCCACCAGGGUUGGGAACAAAGGAAGCUUCGGCCUCCGCAUUGGGAUGGGCCCGCGGCCCAUUAGCUUGUUGGUGAGGUAACGGCUCACCAAGGCGACGGUGGGUAGCUGGUCUGGGAGGACGAUCAGCCACACUGGGACUGAGACACGGCCCAGACUCCGAAGGGAGGCAGCAGUGGGGAAUGUUGCGCAAUGCGCGAAAGCGUGACGCAGCAACGCCGCGUGAGGGAAGAAGGCCUUCGGGUUGUAAACCUCUUUCAGGAGGGACGAAGGUUCAGGCGCGAACAGCGUCCUGGACUGACGGUACCUCCAGAAGAAGCCCCGGCUAACUACGUGCCAGCCGCCGCCGUAAGAC